UACGUAGGCAGCGAGCGUUGUUCGGAGUUACUGGGCGUAAAGGGUGCGUAGGCGGUUGUUUAAGUUUGGUGUGAAAUCUCCCGGCUCAACUGGGAGGGUGCGGCGAAUACUGAGAUGCUGGAGUGCGGGAGAGGUAAGCGGAAUUCCUGGUGUAGCGGUGAAAUGCGCAGAUAUCAGGAGGAACACCGGUGGCGAAGGCGGGUCUCUGGGCCGAUACUGACGCUGAGGAGCGAAAGCGUGGGGAGCGAACAGG
rnacentral:rRNA from 1 species